AUUGAACGCUGGCGGCAGGCCUAACACAUGCAAGUCGAACGGUAACAGGAAGAAGCUUGCUUCUUUGCUGACGAGUGGCGGACGGGUGAGUAAUGUCUGGGAAACUGCCUGAUGGAGGGGGAUAACUACUGGAAACGGUAGCUAAUACCGCAUAACGUCGCAAGACCAAAGAGGGGGACCUUCGGGCCUCUUGCCAUCGGAUGUGCCCAGAUGGGAUUAGCUAGUAGGUGGGGUAACGGCUCACCUAGGCGACGAUCCCUAGCUGGUCUGAGAGGAUGACCAGCCACACUGGAACUGAGACACGGUCCAGACUCCUACGGGAGGCAGCAGUGGGGAAUAUUGCACAAGGGGCGCAAGCCUGAUGCAGCCAUGCCGCGUGUAUGAAGAAGGCCUUCGGGUUGUAAAGUACUUUCAGCGGGGAGGAAGGGAGUAAAGUUAAUACCUUUGCUCAUUGACGUUACCCGCAGAAGAAGCACCGGCUAACUCCGUG
rnacentral:rRNA from 1 species